CACGAUGAAUCCAUGUUUGGCAAUUCCCUUCACAGAAAAUGGAGUCCUGACAAUCAUCAUCAAUAUCAUCUUGGCAAAUUGGGCAGCAGUAUUUGUUAGUCUUCUUUCGUGAUUUUGACCCGACAGUGGUCCUCUUGCCAGGAGAAUCAAUAGGAGCUGUCAUAACCUUAGAACGAGUGUUCAGUCUUGGAAGCCAUCGUGACAGCACGUGUCUUCUUUUUAAGUGACGAUCUAGCUACAGGAAGAAACAGAAAACACUACACAGAGACAACACAGCAACAACCUGGAUUUGUGGCCGGUAAAAACAAAUUUAAACCGGCAAAGAAUCAGAUGGGGACACAGGUUGGUCUCAGAGCACAAAACGAGUAGCCAUUAGGUAGGCGUGGUUGAUAUGGCGGUACUGGGUAAGUCUCGGAGUUAGUACUGAAUCUUCCAGGAACUUGUAACUUCAAUAAUGUACAUGUUCUAUACUCCAAAUCCCAUUUCAUAGCCUCGGUGUGCCUGAUGUGGGCAGUUGGGUUUGCCGGUUUAUUUUGUUAUGAAAUGCAUGUAUAAUUAAUGAUUUAUCACAAGAUUUAAUAGUGAACAAUUAAUUAGUAACUAAAGUAAUUGCAUUAGCCUACUAUUGCCAAUUGAAGCAUAUCUAAUUAGUAUGCAUGUCAUGUACAUGUGCAUGUAUACCGUAUACUGGGAAAUUUUUGAGUAGCCAAAUUUUCGCGGAUUUCGCUUUUUUUGCUCCGUCGCGAAAAUAAAAAUUGUGAAAUUAUGAAUUUACAUUGCCACAUGGUGGAGUUUACAAGCUAUUCGUGAAAAUAUUAUUUCGGGAAAUUUUACAAAUGCAAAAUUCGCAAAAAAUUUAGCGAUGUGAAAAUAUCUCAGUAUAUGGUACAUGUAAAGUAGAGAAAAUUUUAAAUUUUGAUGAAAGUUAAUUGUUAACAUUUGUGCCACAAAAUUUUAUAACGUAUACUUGUAGUAGGUGGUACCUACAUGAACAUGUAUUUUAUUAAUAUUUUUAGGAUUAUUAUUGUAAUGCUCCUCUUUUUACAUUUUAUGUACAAGAUCCGCCAGUUCUUAUUACAAUACAAAAGUUAGCGCAUCUAGGCUAUAUUAAAGCUCUAGACCCCAAUGCCUUCAAGAUCUUUCAUACCUUAUGACUGGUUACUCUACCAUUAUAUCAAUGAAACAUUCUAUCAAGGUCUAAAAUUAUUCACUCAAGGGGGUCAGAGUAUAUUCCUAGUCCUUUCAAAGAGGAUCUAAUCUAUGACAAGUUGACGAGGGUGAAGGGUGUCUCUCUACAGACCCUGACCUGACAGAAAUGACAGACUGGAGAAAUACUCACGUUCCUCCAUUAGCAUUGACUAAAGCAUGAGCUGAGAUAUUAAUAGGAGAACCAAAGACAAUUAAAAGAAGAAUUCUGUCAGUUGAAAUCAGGAGGAGGAGGAGGAGUGACUCUAGUAAACAGAAUAUGAAAGGAGAAAUUCACAGACUAACUGGAGCAGCACAAAGCAUUAGGAUACCAUCAGACAGACACAUACAUGUACUAGUACGGUACCUUUAACAGUUGAAGAAUGGAUGGCAUCAGAAAAGAUUUUAAACUUGAGGUUACAUCCUCAGGAAGAGAAAUAUCAUAUCAUCUAUUUAUAGUCCUUACAACCUGUGAACAAGCACAGGAUGAGUCUUAGUUUUUGUGUGACUCAUUAAAUUAAUGUGAGGAUAUUUCUUAUCAUUUUGUA